AAUACCUGACGGAGAGGGUCCCACCCCUUUGAAACGCGUAGCCCACAUUUCUUGAAAUAAAAAAAAAACACUUAUUUAAUAUUUUAUCUGUCUGUAUAGGUUCAUUCCACUCUAUCUCCCAGGUGAGCGCCAAGAGGAUCCUUUUUCCUUCCCUGGACGUGCAGGAUAUUGCAAGCCGUUCCAGACCAUCUAGAGGAUAUCCCGAAGACAGGCCAGAUCCAGGCAGCACCCUGGCCAUAUACCCACUGUGUUUGGGCACCUAAAGCUCUCCAAGGUGUUGUACUCUUAGCAUAACACCGCCAGACAGGUUUUUCUAAUCUUAAUACUCAAAACAGUUACUGGAAGUCUCUUACCCAUGCAGAGAUUGAACUGCAAGUAAACCUAUGAAAAUGUCAGGUCUUCGGGUGUUGCUGGGCAGAAUUGAAGAGGAUUCCGAUUGGCCAGCCCAAGCCACGGCGGGAACCCUGAAGGAUAUUUAAGAUCCAGCUGGACAGAGCGGGCUGCUAGUCAGAAGUUCUACCUGAAAUUCUGCAGAGACAGAUUGUAACCAGGAGAAAUCUUCAUGAUGGCCUGAGCUGGAUGGAGAAGAUAAGAUACAGUCAACAGCCCUUCAGAGAAGAUCUCACCAGUGAUUCACUAAGGCAAGGUUCACAUAUGUCCAGCCUGAACCCAGCCUAUUACUCAACUCAGCUGAUGCUACAACUGAUGACAACAUGCAAGCAAGAUACAUUCCCCUAGUGGUGAAGGUCCAGCAUGUCCAACCACUCACCAUCCAAACUGAGAUGCCGGAUGAUUUUGAACUGUUUCAUUCCUAUGAAUGGGAUCAGUUCUAGCAUCAUUUUCCUUUUUAGCAAGCAAUGGUGGGAAUAGAUGACUGACGCCGGACAUAUGUGAACAAGCUCUAAGAGAAGGUGUCAUCUGAGUCACUGGAUACAUCAAUACUGUAAUAACAUAUCUAGACUUGUAUGUAUCCCUAUAUGGUCACUGUAUGUGGGAAUGUUGGUAUUUUUUUUAGUAACAGUAUAGUAGUAUUGUUAAGUUGUUAUUUGGAGGGAAUAUGUGGUCAUUGUAUGGGGGUAUUAAUCAGCAACAGUAUAUUAUGAAGUCACUGUUUGGUAGUAAUAUGUAAUCAUGGUGUGGCAGUACUAUAUGUCCCUUGUAUAGUGGCAUUAUGAAUAAUGUUGUUUUCCCUGUACUGGGAUUUGUUGAAUAAUGGUGUGUGAUAUUAGUUAAUUGCGUAUUUGGUAACUGUAUUGGCUUUAUUUGGAAACUGUAUGACUAUCAUAUAGAGGUAUUAAAAUUGAUACCUAUGUUAACACCAAUUCUUCAAACAUUAUCUCUUAGACAAAGUAAUUCAGAAGGUCACUCGUCACUGAUAAAGUUCUGAUCUGGGACAGUUUAUAUUUAAAAAUGUGACGGGAGAAGGGCAUAUUUCCAUUCUGUCAGUAAUGAAACCAACUAUCUAAUCUUACGAGUAAAACAUCAGGGAAACCUAAUAGUCCUAUGAACCCAUUUUUCUUAUUUGUAAUGCAUAUUAUUUUUAAAAGAGUAUUAAGUUCAGUAAAUAAAAAACUUUACAGUAGAUGUUUAAUGCAUGUAUUUUAUCAAUAACGUAAGGAAUAUAAGUGUUAUGGUUGCACAGGGCCCUGGAAAAAGGACCAGAACAGGCAGCAGCCAAGCGUUUCCUCACACUAGAGCUCACAGAGCAGGAAUAGGCUUUA